UAAAACUCUAAUUAAACCUCACUAAGACUUGCUUAAGAGUAAUCGUCCUUAUCAAUUUCUUAGUAGGUUACAAAAAAAACCUCUACAGCAUGUAUGGGGUACUGAACCAUGGCUAUUUCAAUCAUUAAGUUCCAACCAUUGGGCUAUAAUAUUUCAAUUUCGAUCUUUAAGUUAACAACUCUUUUAUAUGGUACUAGUAUAUAGUCGUAGGGAGCAAUGUGCAUGAUUUGCUAACUGCCAAAACUGAACGAACAGCAGAUUUACGUCACACAAGCAGGAUGGUCACGGACGGUCCAUUACCCAUACUAGAUGACAUGUACUGUGAUGUGGCAUGUCGAUCAUAUGCGACCAUCACACCCAGGCCCCACCACCAUCUGAUCUUUUAUGAUGCACUGGCUCAGCUCAUGCAAUGAAUUGACAACGACGUUAGGUCCGGGUUGGUUGAUUUGGUUGAUGAUUGGGAGUAAUAAAAAGGAAAAAGUCUGGUUUGGCGAAGAAAGCUAUAGCAAUGGGGUUUCAGCCCAAGAAAAGAGAAGGACUCUGAUGUAAUGGGCUCUCAGUAGAAAACAAUGUAGUAGAUUUGGCCCAACACGAACGUGGAGUUAAGAAAUUACUUCUCAAUUUUGAGGGAAAAAGAGAUGUAUUAUUUAAAAAAAAAUAAGAAAAUGUAGAACUGCC
rnacentral:lncRNA from 1 species